UGUUCUUUUCAUCCUCUCAUCCUCCUUGUCCUCCUCCUCCAACCCAUUCCUUACUGACUGCCGAUCUUCUCUCCUCUAUUUUCUCCUCAUCCAUUUUUUCUCUUCGUCCUCUUAGUCCUCCUCAUCCUCUUCCUCCUCCAAAUCCACCUAUCAUCCCUACUCCUCUACGACAGCCCCCUCUACAUUCAUUCCUUCUCACCAACAACCCAUCCUUUCCUCUUCUCUUCCCCUUCAUCAUUUCUCCUCCUCAUCC
rnacentral:lncRNA from 1 species